CCUACGGGAGGCAGCAGUGGGGAAUAUUGCACAAUGGGCGGAAGCCUGAUGCAGCGACGCCGCGUGAGGGAUGACGGCCUUCGGGUUGUAAACCUCUUUCAGCAGGGACGAAGCGAAAGUGACGGUACCUGCAGAAGAAGCGCCGGCCAACUACGUGCCAGCAGCCGCGGUAAGACGUAGGGCGCGAGCGUUGUCCGGAUUUAUUGGGCGUAAAGAGCUCGUAGGCGGCUUGUCGCGUCGACUGUGAAAACCCGCGGCCCAACCGCGGGCCUGCAGUCGAUACGGGCAGGCUAGAGUUCGGUAGGGGAGACUGGAAUUCCUGGUGUAGCGGUGAAAUGCGCAGAUAUCAGGAGGAACACCGAUGGCGAAGGCAGGUCUCUGGGCCGAUACUGACGCUGAGGAGCGAAAGCGUGGGGAGCGAACAGGAUUAGAUACCCUGGUAGUCCACGCUGUAAACGUUGGGCGCUAGGUGUGGGGGACCGUCUCCGGUUCUCUGUGCCGCAGCUAACGCAUUAAGCGCCCCGCCNGGGGAGUCGGCCGCAAGGCAAAACUCAAAUGAAUUGACGGCGNGAGAGNGCGACGACGACGACGAGGGAGAGG
rnacentral:rRNA from 1 species